GUUUUUCUGGAUCAUUCACUUAUUUGCAUCGGUCCCCUACGUAGAGGAUGCGUAGGCCGGAGCUGACUGCUGAGAUAAACUACUGAGGACUUAUACGGAAAUGAUGAUUAGGGCCAUGGUAUAUGGGGUUUCGGGAGUGGUUCCUAUAUUUACGAAGUCUAUGGUGCUAAAAUAAUACUGAUGUUUCGCAGAGUUCUCCCAAGUCACCGCAUCCUUACU
rnacentral:lncRNA from 1 species